ACGUGUGAGGCAGUUUGUGCAGGCAGAUGAGUGGGAAGGACACUGGGGUGUGGCUCGACAGACUGUUAGCUGAGCUGCUGGUCAUACACUUGGCUAAGAAAAGCUACUAAACCUCACCAAUGCUGAGAGGAGGCUGGGCUCAGCUACUCUGAGAUGUUCAAAAGGACAAACAGAAAAGUCUGGAGAGGGCUUAUUUUGUGAGGUGCUUUGGCCUCGGUGAGCUGCAAAGCAGCCUGGCUGAGCUGCUGCUCCUGCCAUGGUGGAACCAGAUGCUCUUGUCUGCUGACCUGAUUGCACUACUCUGCAGUGAUGGUCCAAAUUACAGUGUUUUUCUGAGUAUUGACAACUUGAUAAAGGCUGCCAUUGCCUGGACUGCUUGACAGAUAAAUUAAAGGGGAAUUUCUUCCUGUAAA